rnacentral:rRNA from 1 species
UACGGGAGGCAGCAGUGGGGAAUCUUGGACAAUGGGGGCAACCCUGAUCCAGCCAUGCCGCGUGUGUGAAGAAGGCCUUCGGGUUGUAAAGCACUUUCAGUAGGGAGGAAGGCUUAUCCUUAAUACGGAUGAGUACUUGACGUUACCUACAGAAGAAGCACCGGCUNNNNNNGNGNCAGCAGCCGCGGUAAUACGAAAGGUGCGAGCGUUAAUCGGAAUUACUGGGCGUAAAGCGCGCGUAGGCGGUUUGCUAAGUCAGAUGUGAAAGCCCCGGGCUCGAACGCUUGGGCUCUGCAUUUGAAACUGGUUGGCUAUAAUUGCAGUAGAGGGAGGUGGAAUUUUCGGUGUAGCGGUGAAAUGCGUAGAGAUCGGNGCGGGACACCAUUGGCGAAGGCUGGCGCUCCUGGACUGACAUUGACGCUGAGGUGCGAAAGCGUGGGGAGCAAACAGUAUUCGAUACCACUGGUAUUCCAAACUGCCGUCAACGAUGUCUACUAUGCAGUCGGGGAAAUCUUAUUAUUCUUGGUGACGAAAAAUGCGCGAUAAGUAGACCGAACUGGAGAGUACGGCGCGGGGUUAAAACU